rnacentral:rRNA from 1 species
UAUGUAGGGUGCGAGCGUUAAUCGGAAUUACUGGGCGUAAAGCGUGCGCAGGCGGUUUUGUAAGCCAGAUGUGAAAUCCCCGGGCUUAACCUGGGAACUGCCUUUGUGACUGCACGGCUAGAGUGUGUCAGAGGGGGGUAGAAUUCCACGUGUAGCAGUGAAAUGCGUAGAUAUGUGGAGGAAUACCGAUGGCGAAGGCAGCCCCCUGGGAUAACACUGACGCUCAUGCACGAAAGCGUGGGGAGCAAACAGG